AAAAAAAAUCAGCAAGAACACCAGUGAGAAUCCCCACUACUCCUUUCUCUUUACUAGCUCAAUCUCUUUCUAGCCUAGCUUAAAGCGUGUCUGGACUAUAAGUGUCCAGUAGGUUUGUCCCAGGAGAGAGGGACUCAAAUUAUUCCUGAUUUGAAGUCCUACACAAAGAUCCUGAGUGGUAGGAGUCAUUGGCCAAAACCGCAAAUUCAGGUACAGAAAUCGAAACCAGGAACCAGUAGUUUGGGG
rnacentral:lncRNA from 1 species